AUCGUUACCCGGGCCCAGCUAGGGGCCACGGUCCUAUCUCGGGGUUUUCUAUGUGGCUCGCUCCUUUGACGGCCGAGCGACACUGGGUCUGAGGUGUAAGCGCUUUUCCAGGCUCUUCCCUGGGGCUUGGAGGGGAAUGGCGCAAAAGACUUUUCUUACAAGCAGAGCCACUGCAGUUACCAAAGAGUAUGUCUUUUAUUGUCUAAGAGGUUAGACUCCUGAAAGCCUGGACAGUGUCAUAAUCUCCACCUGAAGAGUGGAAAAAUUCAAGCAGAGUUUCUCAGGAAAUGACCAAGUCAAACAUCUAGAGUAAGUCAGCAGGAUACGGAGUGAUUCCCCCACACACCUGGUGUUUCUCUCUGAAAGCAGCGCUUGGUACCAGUGUGAACUCUCCGCCUUCAGAAGUCUCGUCAGAUGGAUGUAAUAUGAGGGUCUGGUCCCCCAUACCUUGAGGACUCUGUUGCCAUCUGACAAUUAGAGACAAUCCAAUUGUCCUCAUCCUUGAGGACUCUGCUACCAUCUGACAAUUAGAGACAGUCCAAGACAUGUCACAGUUUGAUCCUAAACACAUUCCUGGCUUUGGUCACUUUUGAAAAGUUCCUGAAUUAUGAGAAAUCAAUAAUAAGGGUGUUCAAAACCUGAACACUCUUUUUAGAAAUAACUGCUGGAAUUACAUAUACGAUUUAUGGGGUACUCUCUUGUAGUGUCUGGGAAAGCAGACCCAUCUAACCUGGAAUGAUCAUAGGCAACAAUGACCAAAAAUGGGCAUCUUUUGAUAUACCUAAAGUAAUUUAUUUGUAUACACCAUUGGAAAGAGCUGGUUUUAGAACCAGACAUGUAAAUAUGAGACUUACUUCCACUGGCACCUAAAAACUUCUAAAAGAAAUCCUGAAAGAAAAAAUCACCUUCAUUCAAGAGGUAAACAAAGGAAUAUUUGAAACUAUUUAAAAAGACUUCGGAGUCUUUCUCCCUUUCACCUCCAGAUCCUCCCUUUUCUUCCAGCUCUGUGAUCUGAACUCAUCCCUUUCUGCUUCUUCCCUUGGCCUCCAUACAUUUCUUAGGCAGAGAUUUUUUAAAAUUUCACAAUGUACACAUUUCCUUCUCUCAGGGGAAAUGAAUUUAAAUUUAGAGCAGAAGGAACAAGUAGAACAACAACAGAACAGGAAUAAGACUGCUGAGACUAUAAAAAUGCAGAUCCAUCAAAAUUUUUUCUAACCAGGUCUGGUGAAUGACACUGUGAUAUGGUCUGGCUCUGUGUUUCCAACCAAAUAUCUCGAUUUGUAAUUCCCAUGUGUUGGGGGAGAAGCCUGGUGGGAGGUGAUUGGAUCAUGGAGGCGGUUUCCCCCAUGCUGUUCUCAUGAUAGUGAGGGAGUUCUCAUGAGAUCUGAUGGUUUAAAAGUGU